AGGGCUAUAGCUUAAUUGGUAAAGCAUACUGCUCAUAACAGUAAUUAUAAGUGUUCGACCCACCUUGGCCCUA
rnacentral:tRNA from 1 species